rnacentral:rRNA from 1 species
UGUUAAGUCAGGUAACGAGCGAGAUCCCUAUCUCUAGUUGCUACUGCUGCUCUCAGGAGUAGUAGAGCUAAUUAGAGGGACCGCCGCCGCUGAGGCGGAGGAAGGAGGGGGCUACGGCAGGUCAGUAUGCCCCGAAACCCUCGGGCCACACGCGGGCUGCAAUGGUAAGGACAAUGGGUUCCUAUUCCGAAAGGAGGAGGCAAUCCCCAAACCUUACCCCAGUUAUGAUUGAGGGCUGAAACUCGCCCUCAUGAAUAUGGAAUCCCUAGUAACCGCGUGUCAUCAUCGCGCGGUGAAUACGUCCCUGCUCC